UCUUAUGCAUGAGCAAAGAAAGUGGUUUCCUGAGAAGGAAUCUACUCCUGGUGAAGAGCUAUGAA
rnacentral:pre_miRNA from 1 species